CCCAAAGCUCACUCCACGACCUGUGUGCCUGGGAAAACAGGAAACUGACAUCUUGGAAAAUUUAAUGUUUAUGGUUUUGAGCCAUUAGUAUGGGCUCGAUGCCCUGCUGUCUGCCACUGAUUAAAGGGACGUGUAUUAUCAGGCAAGCAAGGGCAAGAGAAGGGAAUAGGAUCAAGACACAAAGCAGUGUACUGUGACGAGGAGGAGUGCGUGGCCGGGCCGUGAUGGAGCAUGACCGGCGCUGAAUCAGUGGGAGAGCGAGAUAAGGGGCGGCCGGAGGCGCCGGUUCGAGAGAGAGAGAGAGAGAGAGACG